rnacentral:rRNA from 1 species
UACGAAGGUGGCAAGCGUUACUCGGAUUUACUAGGCGUAAAGGGCAGGUAGGCGGUUUGAUAAGUCUGCUGUGUAAGCUCCCGGCUUAACUGGGAGAGGUCAGCGGAAACUGUCAGGCUUGAGUAUGGGAGAGGGUACUGGAAUUCCUGGUGUAGCGGUGAAAUGCGCAGAUAUCAGGAGGAACACCAAUGGCGAAAGCAGGUACCUGGACCAUUACUGACACUCAACUGCGAAAGCUAGGGGAGCAAACAGG